rnacentral:rRNA from 5 species
CAAAGGUACAACCCUGAACGGUGGAUCACUCGGCUCGUGGGUCGAUGAAGAACGCAGCAAAUUGCGCGUCGACAUGUGAACUGCAGGACACAUGAACAUCGACAUUUCGAACGCACAUUGCGGUCCAUGGAUUCCGUUCCCGGACCACGCCUGGCUGAGGGUCGGUAGCUAAAA